ACAACUUUGUUCUUGGUGAGAGUUAAACAUUCACUCAGAAUUAGCUGCCAGUGUUUCCGUGACUAUCAGCUCCUGCUCCUGCUCCUUUUAAGCUGGUUGCUGACUACAGAGGAGGAAAAAGGAUCCAGAUGAGGACCCUGUCUUCAGGCCCAUUAGCCCAGGACCUCUCAGCAGUCUCUCGGUGCAAAGGGUAGAGGAACCUUUAGAACCCGGAAGAAGAGAAAGGUGCCAUUCGGAGACACUGUUGGAGAGGAGACAGGACCUUUGCAAGAAAUGCAUGUUGGGCAACAUUAAAUAUGAUGCUAGGCAUUAGAAGAAAAUUGUCCUAGAGAAUGAACACCAUGCUCUAUUGGAGAAACAAUGAAGACCUGUGGAAACUCGUCUUAUAAUUUAGUUUGUAGGUUAUGAAAACUGCCAAGAGUUGAACAUCUGCGCCUCUGGGUCUAGUUCUCACCCGUGACCUCAUUCAGUGCUUCGGCAGAGUUCAGUGAGGAGGUUCUAGAGGUAGAAGUCUGAAAAGCCAAGCGAUGCGUUUGCCUUGCCCAAGGUCACAGUGGUGGUGAAAGUUCACAGCCAGCAAUCCACUGUGCUGACUCUGGAACCCAGACACCUAACCACUGUGAGCUAUGACUGGUAGGUGCCACUGAAGUCACUUCAAUGGGAGCACAAGGCUGUCAACUCCUGGUGAAUUCUCGAUAUCUUACACAUGACCUUUUAACCUGGACCAUGCUCUGUUCAUGGUCAAGGCUGGCCGCCUGUGAUGCUCUUUGAAUCUUCUCAACAGCUAGGAUUAAACCAGGCCAAGAACCUGUCUUAGGACAGGGUGUGACAGGCUCAGCUGGCUGGUGAGAGAAAGAGCAAACCUCUCAAAGCUGCCAAAGCCAAAACUAGCAAGUACCUAGUUUUUUCUUCAGGCAACUUUACCUGUUGUACUGGAGAGUCAACUUUAAAUUCAGGAGCUCACACAUGUGGGUGCUUGCUUAAGAAUUCCAUGGGAAUUCCUCUUGAGAUGACAAGCCUAAGGCUGAGCCUGACCUCAAUUGUUACAGUGGACCUCUGAGCUGUAUUGAAGGCGCUGAUCCUGGGACCAACACAAAUGUAUGUGUGAAUAUAUCUAGUCUUUAAUUUGUUCGUAGAUUUGCUUUUAAAUUUGAAUCCAAAGGUUUCUUGAAGUGUGUGUGUGUGUGUGUGUGUGUGUGUGUGUGUGUGUGUGUGUGUGUGUGGUUAUCCAUUAGAGAAGGCUGCUCAAAUAUGGGUUUAAGCCAAUAGAAAGUCUUUAUUAGUACACACUGACAACUAUACUGGGUGUUGGGGAUCUCAGCGUAGCAUGAAACCUUCCUCAGUGAGGUUUUAAGCAAAAAAAAAUGUUCUUGGUUGACAUACUUGAGUAAACAAGAGUAGUUGGUUAAACAGAUGAGGAACCACAGAAGUCAAAAAACAAGGUUAUACAUUUAGAGACUUUCCCAGAGCUAUGGACACACUGAUGAAUUAUGCCUUGUUGUCAUUUUGGUAGGCGGUGCUAUCUGUGUGCUGCGUUGUAUGGCCUGAAUGGUGCCUCCAUUAUGGAGUCACUUGUAUGAAGGUCUAGAUGAAGGUCUGGACCCUGUUACUCCAUUCCAUUUUCUGGGCACCAUUGAAGAUAUCCGUCUAUAACAAUGAGCGUUCUGAGGACUGGUACUGGGAGAGGAAAGAACAAAACCAGAGCGGAAACUCCAGUGGGGACUGGGUCCCUUCUGGGAUCUAUCAUCAGCCACACUGCGAGUCAUCAAAGGCAUUUCCCAGUAAAAACACUAACUCCCUGGCAGAGGAACCUGGAAAAAACGUCCCUGUCUCCCUUCCCUCCACCUCUCCUUCUACCUCCGAGUUUGCUUUGUCAAGAAAAAAAGGGGAUGCUACCUAUGUGAGCUGGCCAGCCUGCUGAGCAGCCAAAGAAUAUGGAGGCUGACUCAGUCCCGACCGAAGGGCAGCAGUCCCCAGGACUGUUGUCCCCCUACGCUUCUCUGAGGGGGGCAGCACACUGCUGGGAGGAGGUGAGGCUGACUGGUGUGAUUCAUGCCAAGGAAGUGAGAAGCCAGACAGACACAUCUGGUUCACCGGGUCCUCCCAUAUCUCUCCCUAUGCUUACUAACCCAGGCAGGGUUGACACUGACAUCAACGUAGAAACUAGGACUCUCUGGGGAAUCCAACCGUCUGAGACCUAUGGGUGACAAAUAGGACCUGAGGGUGCCAUCGGAUUCUUUCUCUUUUUUCUUCUUUGUGCAAUUAAGUGAUUUUUCAGAAGGCUGAGACAAGGCAGAUCCCUGAACUAUAUUCCUCAACUCAGAUGCAACCAGAGUCCUCUUUGGUGUGAACAAUAAAUCCCAUGUGGAGAGAAUACAAGUAAACCUAGAAUAAGCGGGGGUUAUAGAAAUGACAUCGAAGGUGACACCAAAUAUCUUAGUGACCAUUUCCAACACACAGCAAGUCUCAGGGAAGCCCCAGCUCCCAGCUUCUCUCACCUCUAUCAUGUGAAGGCAUCAUUCUUGUUAAGAGCCCUUAGAGUGUCUUGUUAGCCUUGAACCUGAAGUUGAUUUCUCGAAUAUUAGAGAAGAUUCAAUUUAGCAAUGCCAAUUUCUUUUUUGGUAUAGCUCAAGCUGGCAUCAAACUUGUGUAGCUGAGGCUAACCCUGAAGUCCUGAUGAUCCUCCUGCCUCCACC
rnacentral:sRNA from 1 species